GGCGGACGGGUGAGUAACGCGUGAGGAACCUGCCUUUCAGAGGGGGACAACAGUUGGAAACGACUGCUAAUACCGCAUAACAUAUAGAUGUCGCAUGGCAUUUAUAUCAAAGAUUUAUCGCUGAAAGAUGGCCUCGCGUCUGAUUAGCUAGUUGGUGAGGUAACGGCCCACCAAGGCGACGAUCAGUAGCCGGACUGAGAGGUUGAACGGCCACAUUGGGACUGAGAUACGGCCCAGACUCCUACGGGAGGCAGCAGUGGGGAAUAUUGGGCAAUGGGCGCAAGCCUGACCCAGCAACGCCGCGUGAAGGAAGAAGGCUUUCGGGUUGUAAACUUCUUUUGUCAGGGACGAGUAGAAGACGGUACCUGACGAAUAAGCCACGGCUAACUACGUGCCAGCAGCCGCGGUAAUACGUAGGUGGCAAGCGUUGCCCGGAUUUACUGGGUGUAAAGGGCGUGUAGCCGGGAGGGCAAGUCAGAUGUGAAAUCCACGGGCUCAACUCGUGAACUGCAUUUGAAACUACUCUUCUUGAGUAUCGGAGAGGCAAUCGGAAUUCCUAGUGUAGCGGUGAAAUGCGUAGAUAUUAGGAGGAACACCAGUGGCGAAGGCGGAUUGCUGGACGACAACUGACGGUGAGGCGCGAAAGCGUGGGGAGCAAACAGGAUUAGAUACCC
rnacentral:rRNA from 1 species